AGAAUGAACGUUGGCGGCGUGGAUUAGGCAUGCAAGUCGAGCGCGAUGAGUUUUGAAGCUUGCUUUAGAACUCGGAAAGCGGCGAAAGGGAGAGUAACGCGUAGUUACGUGCCCCAGGGUUCGGAAUAGCCACGGGAAACUGUGGGUAAUGCCGAAUAACAUCUCCGGAUCAAAGGUGUGAUUCCGCCCUGGGAGCGGACUGCGUCCUACUAGCUUGUUGGCGGGUAAUGGCCCACCAAGGCAACAAUGGGUAGCGGGUGUGAGAGCAUGACCCGUCUCACUGGGACUGAGACACUGCCCAGACACCUACGGGUGGCUGCAGUCGAGAAUCUUCGGCAAUGGGCAAAGCCUGACCGAGCGACGCCGCGUGCGGAUGAAGGCCCGUCGGGUUGUAAACCGCGUGUCGUAGGGAGGAAGGCGUCCGUGAAGGAACGGGUUUGACCUAUCCUAGGAGGAAGUACGGCGUAAGUUCGUGCCAGCAGCCGC
rnacentral:rRNA from 1 species